CCGGUAUUAGAACUAUGGCCAAUCAGAUGCCAGCUUGAUAUGGAUUUGGCCAGAGCCCCUCGUCGCGCUCGGUCGAACGCGCGUAAGAAGGGCUCUGGGUACGAGAAUGAGCCCAGGACAAUCGCGUUCCCCGAGCCUGCGAUCCUCGGGAAGGAACGUGAGGCUCUGGGAUAAUCCGUUGCCGGAAGCCAGGAAUCGUGGCUAAGAUCGAACUGCGCAUUCCAUAUCAACGGCCAACUCAGUCAGAUUCCUCCCUGUGAAACGGAUUAUCCCAGAGACCCACGUUCCUUCCCGAGGAAUGCAGGCUCGGAUCCAAUCUCGUACCCAGAGCCAUCAACGAUGGUAGUCACGUAUUUGUUACUGGGGACAUUUCAAGCUCUAGAUUACAUAGAAUACAUGAUAAUGUAAGAUCAAGUAAAUUUAGAAUCGUAAACUGCGUCAAAAAAUACCAACUUUGUAUUAUACCUUAGCCUAGGACAAUUUAGUACUAUUUUAGAUCACAAUAGGCACUCCCCCAAUCUCCUACACUGCACACAAAACAAUAGCUCGAAAUCGAGGCCAUCUGUGUAAUCAUUGUGUAAUCACAUUCUCGUACCCAGAGCCUUUCUUAUGCGCGGUGCGACGAGGGGCUCUGGCCAAAUCCAUAACCGGAUACCAUAAAAACAUGGUAAGAAAACAAUGUCCGGUGUUAGAACUAGCCAAUCAGAUGCCAGUUCGGAAUAUGGAUUUGGCCAGAACCCCUCGUCGCACCGCGCGUAAGAAGGGCUCUUGGUACGAGAAUGUGUGUAAUCACUAUAUGUAACGCCAGGGCAUUUUUUAAGAAAUUACAACUACUGGGGCUAAGACGCUAAGUCUCAAUGAGGGCCUUUUCCCCACACAAUUAUGCGUACAUAGAAAUCAUCCUGUGACCAGGAGCAGUGCUAGCGCUAUUUGAAUAGGGGAGGGUGUAGUGAAAUUUUUGCCUACUAAUUUCAAACGCUAAUUGGUAUUUCUUUUCCCAAAAUAGUUGGCGAGCGAGCUGGAAGGGGGUGUUUCACGGCUCAACAUCACGUUAACGUACCAUUGUUUGUUUAAUUUUUCCGUAAUUUUAGCUACAAUUAUUAGAUUUUAAUUUUAUCAGUGUCAAUGAAAUGUUUUAGUUUCUUUCCUUCCUAUCCAACUGGGAUUAGAUAAUUUGCCUACUACCUGACAAUUGGGGGUGUUCCACACCCACAACCCCCUUUUAGCGCCGCCUUUGCUGACUUUUGUAAGAGAGAAUGUCGAAAAUGUGAGAGGGUAUGAGAAAGCAGGCAGAUGCAACUUUCCCAACAAGGUUGACUUUAUACUAAUGAUCAAAAGGGCCCAGCUCAUCUGAAAAUCAUGCUUCACUACUGGGGCAAGCAAAGGGCCUACUGGGGGUAAAUGCAGGGACGUGUGAGAGGGUUCUCCGCCAGGCGAUUGUGCUGUUCUUGAAGCUCGAUGACUGCAUUUCUUGCGUUUUCUGAAGCGAAUUUGUAAACGAAUUGCACUAACAUUUCUGACAAUUCGCUAAGGCAAUCCUUUAAAUUGAAAGGGCACCUUUGCCCCCCCCCCUUGCCCCUCCUUGUAAAGGGCAACGGGGGCGGCUGCCCCUCCUGCCCCCCCCCCCCAGUUCAGUUCCGGCGUCCCUGGGUAAAUGGCCUACUGGGGUAAAUGCCCCAGUAGUUAUAGUUAAAAAAUGCCGUGAUGUAACCACAUGUAGUUUUUUUUUCAUUGCCAGCCAGGAAAUUGGGGAAGUAUCUGUUGAGAAAAUAAAAUAUAACUAGAGUAGUGUAAUAUAAUUGUGGAAUGGGAUUAAAUGUAGUUAGUUGAAGAUGAAGCCAUUUUUUAUGGUCAAAACUUUAUUAGCAUUAUAGGAAGCCUGUAUAUAGUCUAGUGUAAACAAAAUGAAAUAUAUCUUUA